GUAUAUAUAUAUAUUCAUUAAUGUACAAUAGUAAUCUAUUGAUAAUAGAGGUCCUCGGUAGACUUUAGUCUUGAAUGGUUAUCUGUUUUAGGAUAAGAUCAUUUUAAGAGAUUAGACAUUACAGUCGUUAAUGAUACACACAAGCAUUAAUUUAUAAUUUUAAUAUUGCCUAAAGAUAUAUUAUAAAAUAUAGAAUAUUAGAAUGGCGUCCGAAAAUGUUACUGAUUCUUCUACAGUUAAAUAUUAUACGCGGGCAGAAGUUGCAAAAUAUAAUACAGCAAAAAGUGCAUGGAUAAUUAUUCAUGAUAAAGUGUACGAUGUGACCAACUUUGUAAAACAGCAUCCUGGCGGUGAAGAAGUUGUUUUGGAACAUGCUGGACGAGAUGGAACAGAACCUUUUGAAGAUAUUGGUCAUUCCAGUGAUGCAAGAGAAAUGAUGGAACCAUAUAAAAUAGGAGAAUUAGUAGAAGAAGAAAGAACCAAAAAUAAUAAGAAAAAUCAGGAUUCGACAAAUGGAACUUCAAAUGGAGAUAGUUCUAGUUGCUGCAUGGUCAUGUGAUGAUUGGCUAUUGCAGUGGCUCUUGGAAAUCCUGGCUGAUUCCUGUUUUACUUGGACUACUAGCAACUGUUGUCUACCGUUAUUUCAUCAGUGCACAUUGAAACAUUCCAUAAGAUGGACAAAAAAAAAUAAAGCGACAUCAUUAAAAUAAUUAUCUACAGAGUAGAUAAUGUAUGAUCAAUGAAAAUUUAAGCAUUAUUAUUAAACGAUAUCGUAAAUUUCAUUACGAUAUCUUUUCUUUACGAGUUUUACGUCAUGUAUCCUUAGAUCGAAUCCAAAUACUGAAGAAUAUAAUCCUAUAUCGAUACACAUCGAUAUAGUUCAAAUAUAUUUAAAACAACAACAAAAAAAGAAACCAAUCUCAAUUAGUAUCCUUAUCAAUGAGCAUAUCUCAUAGCAUCGAUAUGCGUCAGAUUAGCGAUUAGAAUUAUCUAAAUCGUUUGUACGCUUUAAAAGUCACGUAAUUCGAUAGAUUAUCAUCGAGCAUAAAAAAAAUUGCCGAUGUAAUUAUUAUUUUACUAUAGAAGGGAUUAAGCUACGGCGUUGGUCGCGUGUGAUAAAACAAAAAGAAACUAAACGUACAGAGAAUAUCGAUUGUAAUUUGUGUUGGUAUUUCGAUAGAAGAAUUUACGUAGCAUUGUUUUUUUUUCUUUUUUUUUUUUAUUUACUUUUCUUCGACAUUAGUUUCGAUCGAAAAAAAAAAAAAACAACAAGGGUUAAAAUGAGGAGAGAUUGAAGACGUAAAAAAUAGUUCGUAGAGUUUCAUGGCUACCCGUUAGAAAGAGUCCAAUGACAGUGGAUGAAUAUCGAGCGACUCGAAGCGCCGACGCCGGUUAUUCGGUCUCUCUCGUCGCACCAAAUACUCUCUUUUCAUCUCUGUCCUUCCAUUUGUGCCCCGAUCGCCCUUCAUCUUUCCUCCACAUUGCUCUCUCAUCCUUCUCUGUAUUGCGAACGCCCAGUUGAGCGCGAAAGCUCGCAAGACGCGGAUCGUACGUUAGACGAGAUAAACGAACCUACGACUGAUUAGGUAUUGCUAUAUUGAAUAGAAUACUUGAACUGCGACACGAAGGUAAAAUAUAAUACUUCACAGAGAAAACGGAAUAUAUAUACAUACAUAUAUAUAUAUAUAUACAUUAUAAACAAAAACAAAUUUAUUUUAUUUCUAUUAUCGAGAAACCAAAUUUAGAAGGGUGAAACAGCCAGACCUCCCCCUUAAGGGAGAUAAAAGCGUAAAGCUUGUAAAGAAAAGAGAAAGAGAGAAAAAUCGUGCACUUCGUGCACAGGAGAAUAGAGCAAAAGGGUCACGGAUAUUAUUCGCAAGGAGCGACACAUAAGCUGUGAAAUUUUAGAAGGCAUUGACAUCGGUAGCAAAGCGGGGGUGGCAAAGGACCAACUGGUUGCA